rnacentral:rRNA from 1 species
GUAUGUUAAACGAGAAGACUUUAGAUAUGAUCCAGAGUACCACGGGACACGUGAAACCCUGUGGGAAGCAGGAGGGACCACCCUCCAAGGCUAAAUACUACCUAGUGACCGAUAGCGUAUAGUACCGUGAGGGAAAGGUGAAAAGAACCCCGGGAGGGGAGGGAAAUAGAACCUGAAACCCUGCACUUACAAGCUGUGGAAGCACAUUUCUUGUGUGACCGCGUACUUUUUGUAGAACGGGCCAACGAGUUACGUUAAGUAGCCAGGUUAAGCACUUAAGGUGCGGAGCCGUAGCGAAAGCGAGUUUUAACUGAGCGUUCAGUUACUUGACGUAGACCCGAAACCGGGCGACCUACCCAUGAGCAGGAUGAAGCGAAAGUAAAAUUUCGUGGAGGUCCGAACCCACGAGCGUUGAAAAGCUCGGGGAUGACUUGUGGGUAGCGGUGAAAUUCCAAUCGAGCCCGGAGAUAGCUGGUUCUCCCCGAAAUAGCUUUAGGGCUAGCCUCAAGGUGAGAGAUACGGAGGUAGAGCACUGAAUGUCCUAGGGGGUAUUGCACCUACCGAAGACUAUCAAACUCCGAAU